rnacentral:rRNA from 1 species
GGAGUUAGCCGGUGCUUCUUCUGUGAGUGAUGUCCUUCCUGCCGGCUAUUAACCCGCAGGCCUUCUUCCUCACUGAAAGUGCUUUACAACCCGAAGGCCUUCUUCACACACGCGGCAUGGCUGGAUCAGGGUUGCCCCCAUUGUCCAAUAUUCCCCACUGCUGCCUCCCGUAGGAGUCUGGGCCGUGUCUCAGUCCCAGUGUGGCUGAUCAUCCUCUCAGACCAGCUACGGAUCGUCGCCUUGGUGAGCCGUUACCUCACCAACCAGCUAAUCCGACAUAGGCUCAUCCGAUAGCGCGAGGCCCGAAGGUCCCCCGCUUUCCCCCGUAGGGCGUAUGCGGUAUUAGCCUGGGUUUCCCCCAGGUUAUCCCCCACUACCGGGCAGAUUCCUAUGCAUUACUCACCCGUCCGCCGCUCGCCACCAGGGAGCAAGUCNCCCCGUGCUGCCGCUCGACUUGCAUGUGUUAGGCCUCGCCGCCACGCGUUCAUCUGAGCCAGAAUACAACUACUGA